GAUGAACGCUGGCGGCGUGCCUAAUACAUGCAAGUCGAGCGAACAGACGAGGAGCUUGCUCCUCUGACGUUAGCGGCGGACGGGUGAGUAACACGUGGAUAACCUACCUAUAGGACUGGGAUAACUUCGGGAAACCGGAGCUAAUACCGGAUAAUAUAUUGAACCGCAUGGUUCAAUAGUGAAAGACGGUUUUGCUGUCACUUAUAGAUGGAUCCGCGCCGCAUUAGCUAGUUGGUAAGGUAACGGCUUACCAAGGCGACGAUGCGUAGCCGACCUGAGAGGGUGAUCCGCCACACUUGAACUGAGACACGGUCCAGACUCCUACGGGAGGCAGCAGUAGGGAAUCUUCCGCAAUGGGCGAAAGCCUUACGGAGCAACGCCGCGUGAGUGAUGAAGGUCUUCGGAUCGUAAAACUCUGUUAUUAGGGAAGAACAAAUGUGUAAGUAACUAUGCACGUCUUGACGGUACCUAAUCAGAAAGCCACGGCUAACUACGUG
rnacentral:rRNA from 1 species